rnacentral:rRNA from 1 species
GACGAACGCUGGCGGCGCGCUUAACACAUGCAAGUCGAACGGAAAGGCCCUGCUUGCAGGGUACUCGAGUGGCGAACGGGUGAGUAACACGUGGGUGAUCUGCCCUGCACUUCGGGAUAAGCCUGGGAAACUGGGUCUAAUACCGGAUAGGAGCCAUUUUUAGUGUGAUGGUUGGAAAGUUUUUUCGGUGUAGGAUGAGCUCGCGGCCUAUCAGCUUGUUGGUGGGGUAAUGGCCUACCAAGGCGGCGACGGGUAGCCGGCCUGAGAGGGUGGACGGCCACAUUGGGACUGAGAUACGGCCCAGACGCCUACGGGAGGCAGCAGUGGGGAAUAUUGCACAAUGGGCGCAAGCCUGAUGCAGCGACGCCGCGUGGGGGAGGACGGCCUUCGGGUUGUAAACUCCUUUCGCUAGGGACGAAGCUUUUUGUGACGGUACCUAGAUAAGAAGCACCGGCUAACUACGUG